rnacentral:misc_RNA from 1 species
GUUGACCUCACAGCAAUUAACUAGUUUUAAAGAA